AUUGAACGCUGGCGGCAGGCCUAACACAUGCAAGUCGAGCGGAUGAAGGGAGCUUGCUCCUGGAUUCAGCGGCGGACGGGUGAGUAAUGCCUAGGAAUCUGCCUGGUAGUGGGGGAUAACGUCCGGAAACGGGCGCUAAUACCGCAUACGCCCUGAGGGAGAAAGUGGGGGAUCUUCGGACCUCAGGCUAUUAGAUGAGCCUAGGUCGGAUUAGCUAGUUGGUUGGGUAAAGGCCUACCAAGGCGACGAUCCGUAACUGGUCUGAGAGGAUGAUCAGUCACACUGGAACUGAGACACGGUCCAGACUCCUACGGGAGGCAGCAGUGGGGAAUAUUGGACAAUGGGCGAAAGCCUGAUCCAGCCAUGCCGCGUGAGUGAAGAAGGUCUUCGGAUUGUAAAGCACUUUAAGUUGGGAAGAAGGGCAGUAAGUUAAUACCUUGCUGUUUUGACGUUACCAACAGAAUAAGCACCGGCUAACUUCGUG
rnacentral:rRNA from 1 species